AUGGCGGAGGGCAGGGGGCUCUGGGAGAGAGGGGCCGGAGGCCCUGGUGGUCUCACGGCCUCCUCUCUUGCAGCCUCCACCAAGGCCCCAUCACUCUUCCCACUGGCCCCAUGCUGUGGGGACACAUCUGGCCCCACGGUGGCCCUGGGCUGCCUGGUCUCCAGCUACAUCCCAGAGCCAGUGACCGUGUCCUGGAACUCGGGCUCCCUGACCAGUGGCGUGCACACCUUCCCGCCCGUCCUGAGGUCCUCGGGGCUCUACACCCUCAGCAGCAUCGUGACCGUGCCUGCCAGCAGCUUGGAGAGCCAGACCUACACCUGCAACGUAGCCCACCCGGCCAGCAGCACCAAGGUGGACAAGAGAGUCGGUGAGAGGAGGGGCUGCAUGGAGGGUGUUCCCUGCGAGACAGGCCAGGGGUCAGCCCUCCUGCCUGGACCCCAGGGCAGCAAGGGAGGCCUCCCUAGCUCAGAGAGGGGUCCUCUGGGUGUUUCCGCCAUGCUCAGGGUGGGGGCAGGCUGGACACCCCUAACCCAGCCCCUGGGCCCACAGAGGUGGGAGCUGGUCUCAGAUCUGCCAAAACCUAGCCCUGACCUAAUCGUAAGAGACCCGAAGUCCUGCAGCAAGUCUCCCGAAUGCCCAGGAGGGCCUUUGGUCUUCAUCUUCCCCCCAAAACCCAAAGACACCCUCAUGAUCUCCCGAAGGCCUGAGGUCACCUGCAUGGUGGUAGACGUGAGCCAUGAAGACCCUGAUGUCCAGUUCACCUGGUACAUGGACGCCACAGAGGUGAGCACGGCUGCAACGAAGAUGAAGGAGGAGCAGUUCAACAGCACCUACCGCGUGGUCAGCGUCCUCCCCGUCCAGCACCAGGACUGGCUAAGUGGAAAGGCGUUCAAGUGUAAGGUCAACAACAGAGCCCUCCCGGCCCCCAUUGAGAGGACCAUCUCCAAGGCCAAAGGGCAGGCCCGGGAGCCACAGGUGUACAUCCUGCCCCCACACCGGGACGAGCUGUCCAGGAACACGGUCAGCGUGACCUGCCUGGUCAAAGACUUCUACCCACCUGACAUCGUUGUUGAGUGGCAGAGCGAUGAGCAUCCAGAGCCGGAGGGCAAGUACAGCACCACCUCAGCCCAGCGGGACAGCGACGGGUCCUACUUCCUGUACAGCAAGCUCUCAGUGGAGACGGACAGGUGGAAGCAGGGAGAAAUGUUCACAUGUGCGGUGAUGCACGAGGCUCUCCACAAUCACUAUAGGCAGAGAUCCAUCUCCCAGUCUCCGGAGAUGGUCCUGGACCAGAGCUGUGUCGAGACCCAAGAGGGGGAGCUGGACGGGCUGUGGACCACCAUCUCCAUCUUCAUCACACUCUUCCUGCUCAGUGUGGGCUACAGCGCCACCGUCACCCUCUUCAAGGUGAAGUGGAUCUUCUCCUCGGUGGUGGAGCUGAAGCGGACCAUCAUCCCCGACUACACGAACAUGAUCAGGCAAGGGCCCUAG